GGCACUCGCCCUCCCGGGCGUUUCCUCCCUGGACUUCGGGCCGCCCGACGAGGGCGGCCUUUUUUCGUCGGCGAG
rnacentral:sRNA from 1 species